GUCCUGGCCCUAAACGAUGCGCACUAGAUAGCGGCUCGUUCCGACGAGCCGCUGUCGGAGCAAAGCAUUAAGUGCGCCGCCUGGGAGUACGGCCGCAAGGUUAAAACUCAAAGGAAUUGACGGGGCUCACACAAGCGGUGGAGGAUGUUGCUCAAUUCGAAGCAACGCGAAGAACCUUACCAGGACUUGACAUGCUCGUAGUAGGAGCCGGAAACGGUGACGACCUCCGCAAGGGAGGGCGAGCACAGGUGUUGCAUGGCUGUCGU
rnacentral:rRNA from 1 species